rnacentral:rRNA from 1 species
GAUGAACGCUGGCGGCGUGCCUAAUACAUGCAAGUCGAGCGAACGGACGAGAAGCUUGCUUCUCUGAUGUUAGCGGCGGACGGGUGAGUAACACGUGGAUAACCUACCUAUAAGACUGGGAUAACUUCGGGAAACCGGAGCUAAUACCGGAUAAUAUUUUGAACCGCAUGGUUCAAAAGUGAAAGACGGUCUUGCUGUCACUUAUAGAUGGAUCCGCGCUGCAUUAGCUAGUUGGUAAGGUAACGGCUUACCAAGGCAACGAUGCAUAGCCGACCUGAGAGGGUGAUCGGCCACACUGGAACUGAGACACGGUCCAGACUCCUACGGGAGGCAGCAGUAGGGAAUCUUCCGCAAUGGGCGAAAGCCUGACGGAGCAACGCCGCGUGAGUGAUGAAGGUCUUCGGAUCGUAAAACUCUGUUAUUAGGGAAGAACAUAUGUGUAAGUAACUGUGCACAUCUUGACGGUACCUAAUCAGAAAGCCACGGCUAACUACGUGCCAGCAGCCGCGGUAAUACGUAGGUGGCAAGCGUUAUCCGGAAUUAUUGGGCGUAAAGCGCGCGUAGGCGGUUUUUUAAGUCUGAUGUGAAAGCCCACGGCUCAACCGUGGAGGGUCAUUGGAAACUGGAAAACUUGAGUGCAGAAGAGGAAAGUGGAAUUCCAUGUGUAGCGGUGAAAUGCGCAGAGAUAUGGAGGAACACCUGUGGCGAAGGCGACUUUCUGGUCUGUAACUGACGCUGAUGUGCGAAAGCGUGGGGAUCAAACAGGAUUAGAUACCCUGGUAGUCCACGCCGUAAACGAUGAGUGCUAAGUGUUAGGGGGUUUCCGCCCCUUAGUGCUGCAGCUAACGCAUUAAGCACUCCGCCUGGGGAGUACGACCGCAAGGUUGAAACUCAAAGGAAUUGACGGGGACCCGCACAAGCGGUGGAGCAUGUGGUUUAAUUCGAAGCAACGCGAAGAACCUUACCAAAUCUUGACAUCCUUUGACAACUCUAGAGAUAGAGCUUUCCCCUUCGGGGGACAAAGUGACAGGUGGUGCAUGGUUGUCGUCAGCUCGUGUCGUGAGAUGUUGGGUUAAGUCCCGCAACGAGCGCAACCCUUAAGCUUAGUUGCCAUCAUUAAGUUGGGCACUCUAAGUUGACUGCCGGUGACAAACCGGAGGAAGGUGGGGAUGACGUCAAAUCAUCAUGCCCCUUAUGAUUUGGGCUACACACGUGCUACAAUGGACAAUACAAAGGGCAGCGAAACCGCGAGGUCAAGCAAAUCCCAUAAAGUUGUUCUCAGUUCGGAUUGUAGUCUGCAACUCGACUACAUGAAGCUGGAAUCGCUAGUAAUCGUAGAUCAGCAUGCUACGGUGAAUACGUUCCCGGGUCU